CUGCAACCACAAGUAAGCCAAUCAGGUUCCUCUCCUCACAGCUUCCAUGUGCAAUGGCUGUGAACAGCAGCAUUCUUGGAAAUACAUACAGCCCACUGUUUAUGAGAUGCUCUAAGGGACCAUGGGACAGUC
ensembl:snoRNA SNORA70 Small nucleolar RNA SNORA70